rnacentral:lncRNA from 1 species
GCAAUUUGCAGCCGAUGGACCCCUGCAGAUGAUGUACACCAAGUCACCAUGUCACAGCUCACCUACGGCUCGCAGAACCAUGCACAGCACUGAAAACAUGGCCCUGUCCGGAUUUCCAGCCAUGUCGCAGCAGCAGCUGGUAGCCGAGAUUGUCCUAGGAGGUGCAACCCCGCAGGAGGAGAGAAAGGAGGGAGGUGCCAAGUAGAACCAACACGAACAAGCGCCCCCAGCAAGUAGUCCCGUACGCCGAGGCAGUGGCCACCCGCAGAGACAGCAGUGGCGGCCCUCUACCUCAUGCCCGGCACCACUAGCGUGCUUGGUUGGGCAACAAGGAGCACACACGACACACACACGCUCACUGUCAGUUCCCAAGAGACGCCCACCUCCCUUCCCAUUCACAGCUCUCAUGGCAACCGGAAUCAGUUCUACGGAAAUCUGCACGGUGAAAGUAGAUUGAUGAAAGGGAGAAGUUGGCAACCACCUGAAAGUUGGCUGAAGCUACAAAAGAAGUCCAAUGGACUUCUAAGACAAAAACUGGGCAUUUGGAAAAAGAAAAA